AAAAAAACAUGUUGAGUCUUGUGGCGAGUUGAGGAGAAACACUCCCCAUAAACACAAGCAUGAGAUGGAGCGUAAAACGCACUCACCAACCAUCUAUAAAAAAAAGAAAAAAAAAAAUUUACCGUGGCUAGUUUUGUUUCGGGGCCUUUGUUACUUGAGUAAGUACGCCCGAAGGGGUAUCUUAAAACCUAGCGCCCUAAGGUCUUAUAUG
rnacentral:lncRNA from 1 species